GCUAUUUACUCCAGGGCUAGUUAAAGACAAUGUGGACAAAUGCAGACAACCAGCAAGCAGCCACCAUUUUGUGAGUUAAAUAGGGCCAUGCAUAGAAAGAGAAACCGACAUUCCUUCCAUAAUAGAUUAUAUUGUGGGUGCUCUGCUAACAAGAAUGACAUCUGCCGCAAAAAGCGGAGGGGGGGAAACUGAACUAGAAGCCAUCCUACCCACCCUAUAGACCUGUUUUCUAUCCUCACAGCCACAGGAACAGAAAGACGUAUGAUGAGGUCUUUGUCAUCUUCCAGAGGCAAAGGUCACAAUAUAAUUCCAACCAUAUCGACCAAGAUUGACGAGGUUUUAUAUGGACCCAUAAACACACAUUGUGUUGGUCCUGAUCCUGAAGGCAGCUGAGCUAAGUUACAGUACUUUUACUAAACUUCAUAGGUGGAAGAUAGUUCUGAUGGUUUUAUGAACACAAAGGACUGUGCAUUUGAUGGUGAGAAAUAAGUACAUUUCCCCCCCAUCGUUGCCCCUCCAUGCCGGGUACAGCUGUAUCUGCUGUAGCAACUGUCUGCCAGGCACGCUUAAGAAAAAGUUACCAAUUCCACAUUGUAGUAGCUUGAUUCCCACGGAUCAGUGCUGGAUUUGUUGUAGGCCGCCUCUUAGGCAAUGGGGAAUAACCUUGUUUCUUCAUCUCUUGGAAGGUUUUCUGUAGAGAGCCAGGUGAGACACAGGGACAGUAAUGAGUAAUAGUUAGCAACUUCAUCAGUGUCUGGAGGCAACCAAACCAAUCUGGAAUAUUUAUUUUAUUUCUUGAAAAUUGUAUACCACAAAUACCUGCAAAAGCCCUUCUAAGAUGCCAAAGGACAACGUGUAAGAAAUAGUUGAAUGUGGAAGAUUAUUGCCAUAAUUGUAAAAUCCAUUUUAAGUGUAUAAGCCUUGUGGUAUACAAGGUGUAAAUAAAAAUGUCAAUUAUAUUUAAAGCCUA